AUUCAUUACUUAUUGGGCUAUCAAGCUUGUUGCUACAGAAAUCCAGCUCUUGAUCGGAAUGACUGGAGUUAAGGUAUAGGUGCAUCCUUUCGGAGAAGUGACCUACAAAAUAAGUCCUGAUCGAAGUUGGCUCCAGUAGAGACCCUCCGACACUCAAGUCAGAUUUUAGAGAAUAGGUGAGAAGAAGCAUGCGAGAAGAGAGAGUGUAUCUUGAGGGUCCCUUUGAGGCUUCUAUUUAUAGAUAAGACAUGUAUUGUUAGCAGGGCAUUAUUUCUGACCCAUCUCAAUCAGAUCGGAUGCCGCAUGUCGAGAUUUGGGGGCG
rnacentral:lncRNA from 1 species